AACCUGCGGAGGGAUCAUUACUGAGUGAGGGCUCACGCCCGACCUCCAACCCUUUGUGAACACAUCUUGUUGCUUCGGGGGCGACCCUGCCGGCACUACGUCGCCGGGCGCCCCCGAAGGUCUCCAAACACUGCAUCUUUGCGUCGGAGUUUAAACGAAUUAAACAAAACUUUCAACAACGGAUCUCUUGGUUCUGGCAUCGAUGAAGAACGCAGCGAAAUGCGAUAAGUAAUGUGAAUUGCAGAAUUCAGUGAAUCAUCGAAUCUUUGAACGCACAUUGCGCCCUUUGGUAUUCCGAAGGGCAUGCCUGUUCGAGCGUCAUUUCACCACUCAAGCCUGGCUUGGUAUUGGGCGUCGCGGCUCCGCGCGCCUUAAAGUCUCCGGCUGAGCCAUUCGUCUCUAAGCGUUGUGGAUUUUCUAAUUCGCUUCGGAGUGCGGGUGGCCGCGGCCGUUAAAUCUUUACUCAAGGUUGACCUCGGAUCAGGUAGGGAUA
rnacentral:rRNA from 1 species